CACUGAGAAGCUGAAAUGGGUUAGUAGCGUUAGCCUUUUAAGCUAGAGUUUGGUGGGCCCCAUACACCCUUAGUGG
rnacentral:tRNA from 1 species